rnacentral:SRP_RNA from 11 species
GGCAGAUGGCGGGUGACUGCGAGCUUGAUAACGAAUGCCGAGGCCGGAAACCGAGCAGCUUUGCCUCGCUGUGGCCAGAGAAC